UAUUUUCAUUACUCCUAAUCCUUAAGCCCAAGUUUUAUUUCAUCUUAAAUCAAAAACAGUAAUACACCUUCUACUCUCAAACCCUUCUUCUUCCUUCUCCUUCUCUUUCUUUAAUUUUCACAAGUAGUUGCAGCAAUCAUCUUUAUCUCAUUCUUGAUUUUGAUUCAAUACAGCAAGCGAAAUUACCAUCUCAUUCUCUCCUUGUUACGAAUUGCAGUUAACACUAUUUUCUCGUCUUUUCUGAAAUUUCGUAGCUAAUACAGCAAAUCCAAUAUGAGCAGGUUGUUCUUCUUCAUUUCAUCCAUUUCGGUCAAAUACAGUAAAUCCUCCUCCUUGGUUUUGAUUUUCGAAGAACAGGAUCCCUUAUUUUGCAUCUGAUUAUAGAAUUAGGGAUAAAGCAACAGCAGUUGAUUCUUGUAAACACAACAACAAGCAACAUCUGUUCAUCGGUGACCAGCCUUGAUUCUUCCUUGUUCUUGUGAGUUUCGAAAGAAGCAAACCACGGAACCUUCUUCCCAAAUCUGAUUUCUGAGCGACAUUACCUUCUUUGGGUUUCAAUUGCUGCCAUUUUAUUGAGGAUAUGACUAUGUCGAGGAGCCCUUCUAAUUGAUUUCGAUGAACCGGUUUUGACUCUUUGAAGCAUUAUUGUUGUUUGUUUGCAGAACGGAAUCGGUCGGAAUGAUGGGUUAGCGGUGAUGAAUAAAGUUACAAAGAUGUUAUAUUGAGCUGAGUACGUGAGAAGUGUAGUAUUGUAUUAGGUUUUUGAUAAAUGUAUAUUAGACUUGGUUGUGUUGGUUAUAUCAACUUAUAGAGUGACUUUGAUGAUUACUUUGUAUUUUAGUUAGAUGAUUGGAUUCAGAAGUAGCUGAUACAACUAUGUCUUAGAACUGGUGGCCCUUUUUCACAAGUUUUGGAAUUAAGAUUUAAGUUUCUUGGGAAAUAAACUCUGUGAUGACCCUGUUUCCUCAGUCAACAAUAAGUCGGGUUGUUACAAUUUUUUCAAAAAACAUCACUAAACGUGAUAUAACUUUAAUAUUAACAUGCAAAGCUUAGAUAAGUCAAAUAAACAUAUUCUUAUGCUUUUCAUAUCAUCAAGUAAACGCAAAAUAAAUACUACAUAAUAAAAGAGUUAAGAAAAUAUGUACUAUAAGCCACCAAGGAUGCAAGAGAAAUAAUAGGAAAUAAGAACUCCAAAACAAGAGAAGAUAAGCUCAAAGAAUAAUAUUCAAGGUUUUAAGUAUAAUAAUCCAAACUCUCAAAAAUAAUACUUGAAACCUUACACAAGUUGAUGAUUUUGGCUUAGAAAAUGAUAAGAUUAAUUUCUAUCUUCUUGCCUAACUCCAAUUCUUAAUUCCAAAUUCAACUUAAAGUACAAUCUCUCACAAUCACAAGUACCUUUUCGGGCAUGUCUUACUAAAAUGCUUAUAACUUCUAACUCCA